GAUGAACGCUGGCGGCGUGCCUAAUACAUGCGAGUCGAGCGAACAGACGAGGAGCUUGCUCCUCUGACGUUAGCGGCGGACGGGUGAGUAACACGUGGAUAACCUACCUAUAAGACUGGGAUAACUUCGGGAAACCGGAGCUAAUACCGGAUAAUAUAUUGAACCGCAUGGUUCAAUAGUGAAAGACGGUUUUGCUGUCACUUAUAGAUGGAUCCGCGCCGCAUUAGCUAGUUGGUAAGGUAACGGCUUACCAAGGCAACGAUGCGUAGCCGACCUGAGAGGGUGAUCGGCCACACUGGAACUGAGACACGGUCCAGACUCCUACGGGAGGCAGCAGUAGGGAAUCUUCCACAAUGGGCGAAAGCUUGACGGAGCAACGCCGCGUGAGUGAUGAAGGUCUUCGGAUCGUAAAACUCUGUUAGUAGGGAAGAACAAAUGUGUAAGUAACUAUGCACGUCUUGACGGUACCUGAUCAGAAAGCCACGGCUAACUACGUG
rnacentral:rRNA from 1 species